CCUACGGGUGGCAGCAGUGAGGAAUAUUGGUCAAUGGUCGGAAGACUGAACCAGCCAAGCCGCGUGCGGGAUGACGGUACUGCGUAUCGUAAACCUCUUUUGUACGGGAAUAACGGCGCGUACGCGUAGCCGGUUGAGUGUACCUGAUGAAAAAGGAUCGGCUAACUCCGUGCCAGCAGCCGCGGUAAUACGGAGGAUGCGAGCGUUAUCCGGAUUUAUUGGGUUUAAAGGGUGCGCAGGCGGUAUGUUAAGUCAGCGGUGAAAGGCCCGGGCUCAACCCCGGCCCGGCCGGUGAAACUGGCAGGCUUGAGUUGGAGGGAAGUAGGCGGAAUGCGCGGUGUAGCGGUGAAAUGCUUAGAUAUGGCGCAGAACUCCGAUUGCGAAGGCAGCAUGCUGGCGCCGCACUGACGCUGAGGCUCGAAAGCGUGGGUAUCGAACAGGAUUAGAUACCCGGGUAGUC
rnacentral:rRNA from 1 species